rnacentral:lncRNA from 1 species
CCUCUCUUUUACCACUUCUCCAAUCAAUCAUGCCCAUCCCAAUUUCUCUCUCUAGGAUGUCCUUCAAAAUGAACGAUCAAGAAUCUGGUUUAAUUGGGUAUGACAAUUGAGAAAGGCUUGUUGAAGCGACUCUGCGGAGAAAGAGAUUAGCAAAUUGGUCAGAACGAUAGUGGCAACUCUACUUCUUCAAAUCUCAGUUCCAAGUUGAGAUUCAAUUCUCCUCUUCAUGAUCACGUGCCUGUCACGAGCCCUGAAGGUAGAUCUCUUAUUCUUGUCUUUUUUAUAAUGCUUUGAGAACAUAAAAUCCAUUACAGAUUUAGUAGGAUUUUAGUUAAUUUCUCAAAUAAAAUGCUUCCAUUGAUGAUGCAAGUAAUGGUUGGCGUGUUUGUGCAGCUGUAAAGAAAAGCCGUUUGGUACUUUUCAAGGGAAGUUCCUUCUUAGAUUGGAUGCUCCCGAAAUGAAGUCAGACAAAAAGACGAGAGGAAAAUGGAACAAUUAUUGCAAAAGAUCUCCAUGGGCCACAUACAACUACGACAAAGGAAACAUAAUCAAUGACGAAUAGAGUGCCGGAACACUUACAGAGUAAUUUUACCUAAUAAUACAUUGGUUUCAUUAAGAACUCAAGUAGUGAUCAAAGGCGAAUUUAGCAGUUUACGAAUGAAGUAAAAAUUGUUUCCCAAAUCAACCGUCAGAAUGUGGUGAAAAUUCUGAGGUGCUGUUUGGAAUCAGAAGUCCCUUUAAUGGUUUACGAAUUCUCCAAAAACAAGAUUAUUUUCAGCCAUAUACCUGAUAACAUCUGUAGUAUUUUGGUUUACAACCUUAUCCCCUUUUCUAUAAGUGUUUAUGAACACAACUUUGACCAACCUAUAGGUACUCCCGAGGUCAUGAACACAAUAGUUAUAUUGUAAUUUUUUUUCCUUUUUUCCCCUUUGUAAAGCCUAUGUACAUAGUUGUUUUAAGAUUUUAUUGUUUGGAGGUAAGUCCACAAGUAUCCGUGCUUGUAAUAAAUUUUGACUACAUUGUUGGUGGCGUUUUCUAAAUGUUUAAAUUGUUCAUUGAUUCA